rnacentral:RNase_P_RNA from 1 species
AAUGGAAGGUGGCCGAGCUUAGUAAUAAGUUAGGAAAGUCCAUGCUAGCACACGCUGAGAUGCGUGUAGUGUUUGUGCCUAAGGAAAACAUAACUUAGGGUAUAGAAAUAUAACGGCCGCUGAUUGACCUAAGGCGUAUGCUAUGGUCUAGGCGAUAACGUGCCACAGAGACGAGUGUUUUAGAAAUAAAACAGUGAAACGCGGUAAACCCCUCAAGCUAGCAACCCAAAUAUUGGU